CCGGCCCGUAGUGGAGGUGACUUUCCUGCGCAGCGCCGCUUCUGAGGGCGGAGAACCCACAGGGAGUGCGACCCCUUUGCACGCUGUGAGUGGGCAACUGUCCGAGGGACUCGAGCCGAUCGAAGGCUGGACGCCCUAUAGGGCUCUUGGCAGUCCACGAAAGACCUGGAGUCCGCCUCCCCAUUUCUCCGGUCGGUGAGUGGCAGGAGGAAAUCGCCAAACAUGUUUUCCCGCUUUGCCUCCCCAACUCGGAAACUUGCAACUUGCCGUGUCCUGGAGGUUGAGACAAUUUGGGGUCUCUUGGCUGCCGUCCAACAGAUUUAUCUCUGAGGGCAGUGUCCUUGGUGAGAGGUCCAAGUAGGUGUGGGCGACAUUGUCCUCCAUCUCAUGAGGGAGCAGCCCUGCACACUAGGGCCCAAAACUCUGCGAAGGAGCUUGGAAGUUCUUCAUCCGUUCCACUUGUUUUGCUACUCCACACACCCUUCUAGGACAUGUUGAUUGCCAACUGCUCUGUGCAGCUUUCCCAUAGCUGUCUGUUCCCGUGCAUUUCGGAGCACCAAGCAAAUACGAGCAGAGAGACCUGGAAAAAAAAAUGAUGAAGACAGUAUUAAUGAUAAAAUUAACAUGGCUGAGUGAAUUGUCAAUGCAAGUUCCUUUACUAACUCUUUGUUAAGUUUUGCUUUGUACUCCUUACAUCCUCUUUCUCUUAAGCCAUUGUUUUAAUUUCUUCUCGUUAUCAUUUUUAAAAGUAACAGAAAUACAGCUUUCUUCCUACCUUCACGAUUGACUUGGUGGAGGUUGGGUUGCAAAGAGGAAGCAGUAAGAAAAAAUAAUUAUUCUAUACAUUCACAAGUCCUUCAAGGCACAAAAUAAAAGUAAGAAAUAGAAAAUAUGUCCUUUCUCCUAAUAAAGGUCUUUAUAAUAAAAUUUAAAUGAAGUUUUGUGUUUCAUAACAGCUUCCCAAAUACUGUUGUAGAUACUAAAAUGUGCCUGUAUGUAUUUCCUUCCACAAUAAUAAUAGUAAUAAUAAACUUUUUUAGGUCCAAAUUAAACAUUUCUCAGCUUAAAUUUCUAUCCUCAAUCCAACAUUUAUUAUAUCAAAACUUGAUUUUUAAAAAUAAAACUUUCUUGGAAUUCAUCAUUGAUGUCUGUUUGAUGGCCUCGUGAACAUCAGGAAGAUGAAAUGAAAUGGUUCAAGACUGGAACAAUACCAUUAUCUGCAUCUUGACUCCUGGGAGAUAAUGAUAUCUCCUGCUUUCCUCUACAGACCUACCAGUUUUCUCUGCUUUAAGGGAAAAUCCAAAUGCAUGAGACCUGUGCAUUCUUCUACAUAAUCAAGAGUCUGGUUUCUUCCAUCGGAGUGUAUGGAGUUAAAGUGGUAUACUGUACAUGGCAUGGUGUGAUAGGUGGGAAUAUGAGCUACUGGGGGAAAAAGUUCUUACUUCUAGCCACUUAUACAAAGAGAGGCCAUCUCAGUGUAAUCUGAAAAAAUGCUCACUUUAUAAUGCUGUAUCCAAGGCCCAUCAAAAACUAAAUGGAUGUAUUUGUACUAAAAGUUGGGGAAAGUUGAAUAUCUAAACCUCUGAGCAAAUCUU
rnacentral:lncRNA from 1 species